CCUACGGGGUGCAGCAGUGAGGAAUAUUGGUCAAUGGGCGCGAGCCUGAACCAGCCAAGUCGCGUGAGGGAAGACGGUCCUAUGGAUUGUAAACCUCUUUUGUCGGGGAGCAAAAGACGCCACGCGUGGCGUUCCGCGAGUACCCGAAGAAAAAGCAUCGGCUAACUCCGUGCCAGCAGCCGCGGUAAUACGGAGGAUGCGAGCGUUAUCCGGAUUUAUUGGGUUUAAAGGGUGCGCAGGCGGAAGAUCAAGUCAGCGGUAAAAUUGGGAGGCUCAACCUCUUCGAGCCGUUGAAACUGGUUGUCUUGAGUGAGCGAGAAGUAUGCGGAAUGCGUGGUGUAGCGGUGAAAUGCAUAGAUAUCACGCAGAACUCCGAUUGCGAAGGCAGCAUACCGGCGCUCAACUGACGCUCAUGCACGAAAGUGUGGGUAUCGAACAGGAUUAGAUACCCCUGUAGUC
rnacentral:rRNA from 1 species